CAGCCGCCGCGGUAAUACGUAGGUGGCAAGCGUUGUCCGGAAUUAUUGGGCGUAAAGCGCGCGCAGGCGGAUCAGUUAGUCUGUCUUAAAAGUUCGGGGCUUAACCCCGUGAUGGGAUGGAAGCUGCUGAUCUAGAGUAUCGGAGAGGAAAGUGGAAUUCCUAGUGUAGCGGUGAAAUGCGUAGAUAUUAGGAAGAACACCAGUGGCGAAGGCGACUUUCUGGACGAAAACUGACGCUGAGGCGCGAAAGCCAGGGGAGCGAACGGGAUUAGAUACCCGAGUAGUCCCUGUCUCUUAUACA
rnacentral:rRNA from 1 species